rnacentral:rRNA from 1 species
AGAGUUUGAUCAUGGCUCAGGAUGAACGCUGGCGGCGUGCCUAACACAUGCAAGUCGAACGGGAAUCUUCGGAUUCUAGUGGCGGACGGGUGAGUAACGCGUAAGAAUCUAACUUCAGGACGGGGACAACAGUUGGAAACGACUGCUAAUACCCGAUAUGCCGCGAGGUGAAACCUAAUUGGCCUGAAGAAGAGCUUGCGUCUGAUUAGCUAGUUGGUGGGGUAAGAGCCUACCAAGGCGACGAUCAGUAGCUGGUCUGAGAGGAUGAGCAGCUACACUGGGACUGAGACACGGCCCAGACUCCUACGGGAGGCAGCAGUGGGGAAUUUUCCGCAAUGGGCGAAAGCCUGACGGAGCAACGCCGCGUGAGGGAGGAAGGUCUUUGGAUUGUAAACCUCUUUUCUCAAGGAAGAAGUUCUGACGGUACUUGAGGAAUCAGCCUCGGCUAACUCCGUGCCAGCAGCCGCGGUAAUACGGGGGAGGCAAGCGUUAUCCGGAAUUAUUGGGCGUAAAGCGUCCGCAGGUGGUCAGCCAAGUCUGCUGUCAAAUCAGGUUGCUUAACGACCUAAAGGCGGUGGAAACUGGCAGACUAGAGAGCAGUAGGGGUAGCAGGAAUUCCCAGUGUAGCGGUGAAAUGCGUAGAGAUUGGGAAGAACAUCGGUGGCGAAAGCGUGCUACUGGGCUGUAUCUGACACUCAGGGACGAAAGCUAGGGGAGCGAAAGGGAUUAGAUACCCCUGUAGUCCUAGCCGUAAACGAUGGAUACUAGGCGUGGCUUGUAUCGACCCGAGCCGUGCCGAAGCUAACGCGUUAAGUAUCCCGCCUGGGGAGUACGCACGCAAGUGUGAAACUCAAAGGAAUUGACGGGGGCCCGCACAAGCGGUGGAGUAUGUGGUUUAAUUCGAUGCAACGCGAAGAACCUUACCAAGACUUGACAUGUCGCGAACCCUGGUGAAAGCUGGGGGUGCCUUCGGGAGCGCGAACACAGGUGGUGCAUGGCUGUCGU